CCUACGGGGGGCUGCAGUGGGGAAUAUUGGACAAUGGGGGGAACCCUGAUCCAGCCAUGCCGCGUGUGUGAAGAAGGCCCUCGGGUUGUAAAGCACUUUCAGUGAGGAAGAACGCCUGGUGGUUAAUACCCAUCAGGAAAGACAUCACUCACAGAAGAAGCACCGGCUAACUCCGUGCCAGCAGCCGCGGUAAUACGGAGGGUGCGAGCGUUAAUCGGAAUUACUAGGCGUAAAGCGCGCGUAGGUGGCUUGAUAAGCCGGUUGUGAAAGCCCCGGGCUCAACCUGGGAACGGCAUCCGGAACUGUCAAGCUAGAGUGCAGGAGAGGAAGGUAGAAUUCCCGGUGUAGCGGUGAAAUGCGUAGAGAUCGGGAGGAAUACCAGUGGCGAAGGCGGCCUUCUGGACUGACACUGACACUGAGGUGCGAAAGCGUGGGUAGCAAACAGGAUUAGAUACCCUAGUAGUC
rnacentral:rRNA from 1 species